rnacentral:sRNA from 1 species
CUGUGGAGUGUACAAGAAUUUGUGAGUAGUGUGUUACUUGUAACCACCAAAGCAUACACAUUGAAACAGUAA